rnacentral:rRNA from 1 species
GACGAACGCUGGCGGCGUGCUUAACACAUGCAAGUCGAACGGAAAGGCCCUGCUUUUGUGGGGUGCUCGAGUGGCGAACGGGUGAGUAACACGUGAGUAACCUGCCCUUGACUUUGGGAUAACUUCAGGAAACUGGGGCUAAUACCGGAUAGGAGCUCCUGCUGCAUGGUGGGGGUUGGAAAGUUUCGGCGGUUGGGGUUGGACUCGCGGCUUAUCAGCUUGUUGGUGGGGUAGUGGCUUACCAAGGCUUUGACGGGUAGCCGGCCUGAGAGGGUGACCGGCGACAUUGGGACUGCGAUAGGGCCCAGACGCCUACGGGAGACAGCAGGGGGGAAUAUUGCACAAUGAGAGGGAGCCUGAUGCAGCAGCGCCGGGUGCGGGAUGACGGCCUUCGGGUUGAAAACCGCUUUAGGCUGUGACGAAGCGGGAGUGACGGUAAUGGGUAAAGAAGCACCGGCUAACUACGUG